rnacentral:rRNA from 1 species
UACGUAGGGAGCAAGCGUUGUCCGGAAUCAUUGGGCGUAAAGCGCGCGUAGGUGGCUUCAUAAGUCCGUUGUGAAAGUCAAAGGCUCAACCUUUGAAAGCCGAUGGAUACUGUGGAGCUAGAGUACGGAAGAGGCGAGUGGAAUUCCUGGUGUAGCGGUGGAAUGCGCAGAUAUCAGGAGGAACACCAAUAGCGAAGGCAGCUCGCUGGGACGUUACUGACACUAAGGCGCGAAAGCGUGGGGAGCGAACAGG